AAAGCAACGGGUCUGAAAGGCAAUUCUGUUCUUGAUGAGGGUGCAGGCAGCAGAGGGAAUUGUCAUCCUGCUGAAGACACACAGCUCUUCCAUGCUCUGCCCUAUGUGUAAUUUGUUCUUAUCUGCUGCUGGAGCCACCACCUGCUACAGUGUAAUGUCUGUGGCUAGAACCCAGGCCUCUGGGGAGCAACCCAGGGCUCCAUCCAGGGUGACCUGAGCCUGCUCUGCUCAUCAGAGCCAGUCUUUACCACCCUUCAUAUCCCGGGAGCCCACAGGUAGAAAGAUGGGCAUUGCAGGUCACCGUGGUUCCCCCACUGAAGCAAGUUCCCUGGCUCGCGAUUAGCCAGUGCUCUGCUGGUUCAUGAUGCGCUCCAAAUGCUAGACCAAGAAAGAAACUGGGUCGGUGGGCAGGACACAGGACCAGCGCUUUGGGAGGAGAGCUGUUCUCAAGCAGUUUGGUGGCAUCAGCAGCCUCUGUGUGGUCAGUCAAGCAGGGCAGCCAAUUUCCUCUCCUUUCAGCCCUAACUCUGGACUCCUGUACCUGGAGGGGCUCCCUUUGUGCUCCUGCAGCCCAGAAGCCCUCCGAGGCUUGACAUGAAAUGCUGGUGUGCUGGUGGCUGGCAUGCUCUGAGCCCUUCCUUCCCGCUGUUUCCCUGGAGUUCUGCUUGGCAACCACCCGCCUGCAUUUUUGCAAAGUGAUGUCAUCUGCAGAUAAUGGUUUUUCCGUUCCUGGUGGAGCAGGAGUUCCAGAUACAGUGCUUCGGGGGAGGGGCUCAAGAGAGCUGAUUGUGCACUCCUCAGGCAAGUGGGGCUGCAUAGACCCCCUCCCCUCUGACAGCCACAUCUCAGUUGUAAGGCAAGGCACCGUCUCAGGCUUCCUGGACUCCGGAUUCACCUAAGUUGGGGUGGGAGAAAGUAACCCUCCAGCUCCUAAGUCCUUUAUCCACUGCCAUAGGCAGGAGAGGGUUCUUGAGUCCAAGCCCAAAGGGUGCUUUGUCUGAGGCUCUGACUUAAUGUCAGGCACCUUCAGGAUGGGAGGCAGGCCUGGAGGGGGCUGUGAGGGGCUGGAGAUGGUCCAGGCCCUCCUGGUUAGGAACACUGCUUCCUCUGAUCACUUUUCUUGGAGCAGAACUGCCAAUUUAUUUUCCUGGGGAAAUAAAAAUAAAUGCUGGCUGUUGUAAUCUCAUCCCUGAUCCCAUCUGGAAAAAGCAGGCUCAUGAAUCUUGGCCGCCUGAGCUCUGAGGACUGUGUCUGGCAGAACCUGGAGUUACAAUGGGCCUUCGAACAUCGGAACAGUCACGGCUGACAUUUCCUUUCCCGUUACAUGGCUCCUUGGAAUGUGAGCCCCAGGGGGCUGUCCAUGGGCAGGCGGCCACGUUCCUCAACAAGGGGUCCAUGGACCACCUUGUAUCAGAACCAUUUAGGGAAUGUGUUUAUGGCUAUUCCUGAUAUUUCUGAUUCCUCUUCCAGACCUCCUAAAGUUUUUAUGCGUCUCUAAGUGAUUUCGAUAUACAUACGUUUUGGGGCCCACAACACCAAGGACUUUGAAUUUUCCACCCAGUUUCAAGUUUGAACACAUCACAGUUCUUCAGCCUCCUUCCCCCUCAUAACGAAGUGUAGAGUUAUGAAGCUAGAGGGUAAAAUUAUGGGGUGGGCUGGAACUGGGCAUUGCUCCUAACAAUUAUCUGCUUUCAAACUCUUGGCAGGGUCUCUGGGGUCCUUGAUCCAACUGAAAUCACUGUUAAAGCACUUUAUUCCUCCAGUAAUGAAACUCGAGCUGCUAGUUACAGAGUUUGGUUUCAAAAUUGUGCCAUUUAUUAUUUUUGUUGGAUUGGCUUA
rnacentral:lncRNA from 1 species